AUACGGAAGGUCCGGGCGUUAUCCGGAUUCAUUGGGUUUAAAGGGAGCGCAGGCGGAGAUGCAAGCGUGACGUCAAAUUUCGGGGCUCAACCCCGUCUCGCGUCGCGAACUGCGUCCCUUGGUUGCGGGAAGGGGAGGCGGAACUCGUGGUGUAGCGGUGGAAUGCAUAGAUAUCACGAAGAACUCCGAUCGCGAAGGCAGCCUUCCGGCCCGUCAACGACGCUCAUGCUCGAAGGUGCGGGUAUCAAACAGGAUUAGAUACCCUGGUAGUCCGCACAGUAAACGAUGGACACCCGCGGUUUGGCCUGUAUGGCUGAGCCGCCAAGCGAAAGCGUUAAGUGUCCCACCUGGGGAGUACGCCGGCAACGGUGAAACUUAAAUGAAUUGGCGGGG
rnacentral:rRNA from 1 species